rnacentral:rRNA from 1 species
CACGUAGGGGGCAAGCGUUGUUCGGAAUUACUGGGCGUAAAGGGCUCGUAGGCGGCCAACUAAGUCCGACGUGAAAUCCCAAGGCUUAACCUUGGAACUGCGUCGGAUACUGGAUGGCUUGAAUUCGGGAGAGGGAUGCAGAAUUCCAGGUGUAGCGGUGAAAUGCGUAGAUAUCUGGAGGAAUACCGGUGGCGAAGGCGGCAUCCUGGACCGACAUUGACGCUGAGGAGCGAAAGCUAGGGGAGCAAACGGG